rnacentral:rRNA from 4 species
AGGGGAGUGAAAAAGAACCUGAAACCGUGUACGUACAAGCAGUGGGAGCCCCACCACCAAAGCAUUCUCUGGUGUUGAAGGCCCUGCAAAGCAGCAUCGCGGUGGCGGAGCGUCGUUUGCGACGCCCAACACACAAAACAAGCGGUGAAUGCUUUGGGGUGGGGUGACUGCGUACCUUUUGUAUAAUGGGUCAGCGACUUAUAUUCUGUAGCAAGGUUAACCG